rnacentral:rRNA from 1 species
GACGAACGCUGGCGGCGUGCCUAAUACAUGCAAGUUGAGCGAUGAAGAUUGGUGCUUGCACCAAUUUGAAGAGCAGCGCACGGGUGAGUAACGCGUGGGGAAUCUGCCUUUGAGCGGGGGACAACAUUUGGAAACGAAUGCUAAUACCGCAUAACAACUUUAAACAUAAGUUUUAAGUUUGAAAGAUGCAAUUGCAUCACUCAAAGAUGAUCCCGCGUUGUAUUAGCUAGUUGGUGAGGUAAAGGCUCACCAAGGCGAUGAUACAUAGCCGACCUGAGAGGGUGAUCGGCCACAUUGGGACUGAGACACGGCCCAAACUCCUACGGGAGGCAGCAGUAGGGAAUCUUCGGCAAUGGACGAAAGUCUGACCGAGCAACGCCGCGUGAGUGAAGAAGGGUGUCGGAUCGUAAAACUCUGUUGGUAGAGAAGAACGUUGGUGAGAGUGGAAAGCUCAUCAAGUGACGGUAACUACCCAGAAAGGGACGGCUAACUACGUG